GUCGUACAGUUCUGUGGGUUUUGACGAAUGCAGGUCAGUAUCCACCAUUUCAGUAUCCUACAGAAUAGUUUCAGCAUGUAUCUUGUGUGCUGUCAGCCCCUACCAUCGUAUGCUCCUGCCUGCAGCUUUUUUUUCUUGUUUCUUUAUUUUUCAUAUGUGAGCCUAACACAAGCCUUCCUUUAUGCUAUUGUACCCUUCUUCCACAUGUUUAUAAACUCUCAUAAACAUCAUGGGAUACACCAUCCUCUGCUUAACUAUGCCCCUUAUGCUGGACAUUCAUGUCUAUGACAAGUGUUCACUUAUCAUAUAGGAUAUUUUAAAAUCAUUUCAUGGAAAUAGAUUUCCAGGAUCUAGAUAGCAUUCAGGGGAAAAAAAUAAUUUAGAAAGAAACAGCAUUGUGUGGUGUCCCCCAGCACUUCCCAGACAAAAGGCUUUUGUCUGAAGGUUGGAGGCUGCGCUGUCUUGGCCUAGUGAGUGCCAGUUUCCGCGUGGCUGCCCUGCACCCUUGAGAAGGCUGUCGGGGGACAGUGCUGGCCUGGGUCUUAGCUUCCCCGCUCCUGCAGGAGGACUGGACUUCCUCAUUCAUUCCCUUCUUACUCUCAUCCAUCAGCGCCUUUAAACCGAAACCUGGAACUAUGGUAUUCUCUUUGGUUCUUAGAACGGGUUGGCUUAAUGGGGGAAAUAUUAAUAGCACUGGUGUCAGUGGAAGUGACCUUGAGCCACAUAGGAAGAUUUUGAUAAAACGUGUCACUCUUGUUACCUAUCAGGAUCAAACUGCAUCAUGGAAGCUGCACACGAUGACACCCUGUCUGGAAAGUUUUUGCCAGACGGCAAAAGACUGCAAGCAGAAUAUCCCUUCGCCAUUUCUCAUUCAGUCCUGGCCGUUGUCUGAAAGCAAACCUCAAGGACAGGACUUUUUGGACUCUGCGACCUCUCCAGGCUGCUGCUCCACCACAUGAAGUCCAGCAGGUGGCAGUGCACCCCGCGCAGACCCGGCUUGCCUGUCUUGGCCCGAGGGAGUCCGUUUGAUGCGCAGUCGGGAAGUGGGUCUGCACGCACCUCCCUGCAGCUGUGGCAAACGCAAGCGAUGACACACAGGCUUGACGAGGGCCUUUGUCAGAAGCAAUGGGGAUCUGGCGUCACCGCACAAUGGAAAACAAAGUGCUUCUGCCUGGCUGGCCAGAAUGCACGUUUGCUCACUAUUGAUGCCGGGGCAUUUACAGGCAGAAUGAGUUCAUGUGAAAUUUCAGGGUCUGCCAUGACUCAGAUUCACUUUCUGUAAACCAGAGUCAACAUUACAUUUCCCUUUACUCUGAGCCAUUCCUUGAGUUUUUAGGUCACCAGUUGUUUUUGUACUAACCGAAGGGAUUUGAGUAUUUUUUAUGCACCUUAUUUUUAUUAUUAUUUUUAGGGCAUUACCAAUUUGGGACGGAUCUGUAGUGUGAGAGAUUGUUGUCACUUUUAGCUCCAAACAUAGAUUGGCUUUAUAUAUUAUUUACAUGUUCAGAAUUAUAUUGUGUAGAAAUUCAAGUGAAACUUGCAAAAUACUUUUCUGGCAGGAAGCCCUGGAGAGGAUCGUUCAUGGAAACAAGGAUGACGACUGUGGUAAGAAAUGCAGGUGACUCGUGAGUGGGCAGGGAGUGGAAGAGAAGAUGGCUGGAAGGUUUUAGCAUUCAGAAAAAAAAUGGAGACAACUAGAGUUGAUCUGAAGAUUAUGGCAGAAUUCAAUAUUGGGGCAAAGAAACAAGAUGGAGGUUAGAAAUUAGAAACAGCAGAGCUCCGCAGGUUGGAAAGGAUUUGAGCAAGAGAACAAAAAGGAGCCUGCUAAUAGCACCCUGGGUUUACAUCAAGAGAAGCACCUGGAGAGAAUUAACUCAGGAGGAGGUAGGGGCAUGGGAAACCUUUUCAUCUCCAAGAGCCGGCAGGAACAGCAGCUGGCCUGAACUUGAAGGUACACCAGGUAGCUUGCCUGGGCCAGGAGAAGGUGAUUCUCUUCUAUGCCUCUCUCCAGUGCCCUGCUUCUGAUGCUGCUCCUCUACCCGUAGUGUGGGGAAGAUAUAUCCCUAAGAAGUUCCCUGCACCCCAUUCCUUGUUCUGGCUAACUGGUCCCCUAGGAAUUUUUCUCCUAAUUUUCAAUUCCCCUUCUCACCUGGUGAAAUCUUAAAUCUUACUGUUCAAUAAAGUUU